GUCUUGUGUCUUUUGUGUACUGUAAGAUAUGGGAAGGAGGAUUUUGAACGAUGCAUUAAGAGCUAUUGUCAAUGCUGAGAGGAGGGGAAAAUCUCUGGUGGAACUGAAACCCAUUUCCACUGUCAUGUCUUCUUUCCUUAAAGUCAUGAAAGAUCAUGGAUAUAUCAAGGACUUUCAAGUUCACGAUCCACAAAGAGUUGGAAGGAUAACAGUGGAGCUACAAGGUAGGAUCAAGGAUUGCAAGGCUAUCACCCACAGGCAGGACAUCAAGG
rnacentral:misc_RNA from 1 species